GACGAACGCUGGCGGCGUGCUUAACACAUGCAAGUCGAACGAUGAAGAAAAGAAUUGAAGCUUCGGCAGAAAUUCAUUUCGGAUUAGUGGCAGACGGGUGAGUAACGCGUGAGCAACCUACCUCUUACAAAGGGAUAGCCUCGGGAAACCGGGAUUAAUACCAUAUAACAUUGCGACGAAGCAUUUCGAUGCAAUCAAAGCUACGGCGGUAAGAGAUGGGCUCGCGUCCCAUUAACCAGAUGGUGAGGUAACGGCUCACCAUAGUAACGAUGGGUAACCGGCCUGAGAGGGUGAACGGUCACACUGGAACUGAGACACGGUCCAGACUCCUACGGGAGGCAGCAGUGGGGAAUAUUGCACAAUGGAGGGAACUCUGAUGCAGCGACGCCGCGCGAGUGAUGAAGGAAUUCGUUUCGUAAAACUCUGUUCUAUGGGAAGAAAAGGACUGUACCAUAGGAGAAAGCUCCGGCUAAAUACGUG
rnacentral:rRNA from 1 species